UGCCAGACUCCUACGGGAGGCAGCAGUGGGGAAUAUUGCACAAUGGGGGGAACCCUGAUGCAGCGACGCCGCGUGGGUGAGGAAGUACUUCGGUAUGUAAAGCCCUAUCAGCAGGGAAGAAAAUGACGGUACCUGACUAAGAAGCCCCGGCUAACUACGUGCCAGCAGCCGCGGUAAUACGUAGGGGGCAAGCGUUAUCCGGAUUUACUGGGUGUAAAGGGAGCGUAGACGGCAGCACAAGUCUGGAGUGAAAUCCCGGGGCUUAACCCCGGAACUGCUUUGGAAACUGUGCGGCUGGAGUGCAGGAGGGGUAAGCGGAAUUCCUAGUGUAGCGGUGAAAUGCGUAGAUAUUAGGAGGAACACCGGUGGCGAAGGCGGCUUACUGGACUGUAACUGACGUUGAGGCUCGAAAGCGUGGGGAGCAAACAGGAUUAGAUACCCCCGUAAUU
rnacentral:rRNA from 1 species